AACGAACGCUGGCGGCAUGCCUAACACAUGCAAGUCGAACGAGACCGUCGGAGCUAGUUGCGCAGGGGUGCGUAACGCGUGGGAACCUGCCCUUAGGUUCCCAAUCACCCACGGAAAGGGGUGCUAAUACCGGCUAAUGUUAUCGGACCAAAGAUUUAUCGCCUUUGGAUGGGCCCGCGUGAGAUUAGCUAGUUGGUAGGGUAAAGGCCUACCAAGGCGACGUAGCAUAGCUGGUCUGAGAGGAGGAGCAGCCACAAUGGGACUGAGACACGGAGCAGACUGCUACGGGAGGCAGCGGUGGGGAAUAUUGGAGAAUGGGCGAAAGCGUGAGACAGCAAUGUCGGGUGAGUGAUGAAGGGCUUAGGGUGGUAAAGCGCUUUUACAGGGGAUGAAAGUGACAGUACCGGGCGAAUAAGCCCCGGCUAACUACGUG
rnacentral:rRNA from 1 species